rnacentral:lncRNA from 1 species
UUCCAUCACUUAUCUAAGUAAUUAUUAAUGGGAACACCUUAUUUAAUUAUGGUUAAAAUUAUUUUUCUCGUAAUUAAAACAAGCCGUUCGCACAAAAUCCUCUGGAUGACGUCAUACCUAGGUGCUGUGGCAUCACUGAUAGAUUUUUGAAGUUGGCAUUGACGCCGGUCGCCAGCUGUCAUCAAGUCGAACGGAGCAAGGAGGGAGAUUGUUCUCUGCGAAGUGCCAAGAAGGGCGGUGUAAUCUCUUACAAUAAGUGAUUGAGAAAAUUAUAUUUUAGCCGCAUGGUUCAAUUAUUACUGUAUUGCCAGUUAUUUUAUUAAGUUUGUGUUUGAAUCAAAGUGACGAAAUAUAAUGAAACUGUAAGAAGAAGGAUUUUGCACCGCCCUUCGGGAGAAAUCUCAAACGACGUAUGAACUUAUAAAGACCCAACAACACCACGGGUAGGCACUUCCAGGGUUCAAUCGACAAGGGACAGGUCUGGAGGAUAUACAGCCUCCCAUUUGAUCUUGUUUAUUUUGGUUCUUCUUCCUGCAACCCUCAGAGGGGCAGUUUCAGUAACGGUUGGACCGUUACACCACAUUGGUGUUAGCUUCGUACCACGGACUUGGGUAUUAGACAUCAAGGAACAUUGGAACCUGUGAAAAGGGGUUUGUUUUGGGGACAUUUAUUUGUAACGGUUAAAGACAUACUGUUUUUUUAAUUUUUCAGGACAUUUAGCAUACUUAUACUUUCAUAAUUUAAUUAUAUAUAUUUUUUCUUUCCUCCAAAAACAUAAGUAUACUGUAAUUUAUCAGAGCCAUACCUAAAGUUGAUAGUGUUCCCCAAAUUUACAUAAUUCCUUGGUAGAAGUUUCGAGCUCGAAUAUUCUUCACACAUAUAUGUUCUUUACCCUUGGUUUGUAUUAAUUUUAGACUUGUUCCCAUGUAAAUUAAAUAUAUAAUUGUCUUAAUUCUCUAACUUUAAAAUCAUUUAACUUGCUUUCAUACUUUAUCAAUUUUUAUUAGUUUUUUGCAAAUAUUAUUUAACGUUAACGUAUCAAUCAUUUCCUUUUUAUAUUAACUUUGAAUCAAUCCCUAGUACCUAGCCCCUCAGGACGGUACUAGUUUUACUUGUUAUUAUUAUUAAGAACCACUAGUCAUAAAAGGGUUUUUGUAUCCAGUACUACGUUGGUUCAUUUAGGGACUUGUUACCCGUCAACUCAUUGAGAGUUAUAUAAAAAUAUUAUUUAUAUUAGGUAUUUUUAUUAUUAUAUUAUCAGGUAGUAUUCAAUUAGGCUGUACGUAUUUUAUUCGUACUAUUAUUUGGUGAAGGGUUGUCAUUUAACCUAGAUGUAAGUUGAGGGUAUGCUUCCUAGGAAAGCUACUCCAAUAAUAAUUUAAUAGGUAAUUAUAUUUAUAUCACAAUAGGUAAUUAUUUCUCAUUGUCAUUUUAGAGUUACAUAGUUACACUUGUCAUAACUUAGAGGUUGUCAAUAAUCUAGAUAGUUAUAUAUAAUAAAUAUUUAUUUGUUUUGUA